AGAAUUUUUACAUUACUGUAUUUUAUCAAGUAAAAUAUCAAACAAAACAUUGUUAUUUGCAUGAAGUUAAAAACACAUAUAUUGUAGAAUAUAUAAACUUGAUCAUCUCGGCAACGAUAUAUUGUGGAAUAUAGAAACUUUAUAAUUUAUUGGAUGAUUAUCUAAUAAUUAUGUUAAUUACUAUUUUGUGGCACAACAUUUAUCUCCUUUACAGUGGCUCCUGCAACUUGCUCUGGUUUUGCGACAAACGUUUUUCGCUCCACAACAACAAAAUAAAGCUGGUUGGCGCUUCUUACAUAUCAAAGUGCACGUUGGGGGUUCUAAAAUCCCAAUACUUUUGAUGUCUUUGACUUCAUUUUUGGUACCUAUAAAUCCAAAAUCCAUAAUAUUUCUAUAAGUAUGAAAGAUAAAAAAAAAUGUAAGCAUAUGAUAAUAGGUGAUAGAAAAUUACAUUGAUAACACACAAGCAACAUGAGAAAGCUUAUAUAAAAAAGAAAUAUAUGUGAUUUGAAGAGCUUGACCAUUGUGUGGAGUGCUUAUGAUACCUUUCCUUGUUUUGUGUAUGAAGAAGAUUCAUUUGGC
rnacentral:lncRNA from 1 species